rnacentral:lncRNA from 1 species
GACAAAUUUGAAAUUGUUGGAAAAGUUUAUGAAAAUGUUACAAACUUUGGAAUACAAGGGUCACACAGCUAUGUGGCCCAGCCAAGUGCCUCACACGGUUGAGACACACGCCCAUGUUUCAGGCCGUGUAACCUUCGAACUAGGGACACAUGGGUGUGCCCCUGCCCGUGUCCUCACCCGUGUAAUUCACUGAGUAGGGUCACAUGGUCGUGUCAAACGCCCGUGUGCCAGCCCGUGUGCCAGACCGUGUGCUAGGCCGUGUUACUCACUAACUUGCAUACAAAUAAACCUACAGGAGACACACAGCCGUGCCGCUAGGCCAUGUGUAACACAUGGCUAAGUCACACACUCGUGUCUCAAGCCGUGUGGAUAUAAAUUUGCCCCAAACUAAGCAAUUUCCAUCACCAAAU